rnacentral:rRNA from 1 species
UACGUAGGGUGCAAGCGUUAAUCGGAAUUACUGGGCGUAAAGCGUGCGCAGGCGGUUUUGUAAGUCUGUUGUGAAAUCCCCGGGCUCAACCUGGGAAUGGCAAUGGAGACUGCAAGGCUAGAGUUUGGCAGAGGGGGGUAGAAUUCCGACGUGUAGCAGUGAAAUGCGUAGAUAUGUGGAGGAACACCGAUGGCGAAGGCAGCCCCCUGGGUCAAAACUGACGCUCAUGCACGAAAGCGUGGGGAGCAAACAGG